GAAGUCCCUGGGCCGAACUGCUUAAUCAUAGCGGGUCAGAUAACCUAAAUAUGUGUCCCGGACAGACCAAGCAGCAAGUGAAAUAAGACAAAGGCUCCCUGGCUCCCUGGAGAGCUGAAACGCGUAGAACCUGUUACCCGACACGAAGGAGGACACUCAGCUGAUUAUUUUGGCGUCUUGCUCCAGCUCCCAGAACCGCUACACCACUUGUGAUUAAAAUCGUCUAUACAAGCAGGAAAAACGGUAGGAGCAUAUUGAAGGAGCUGAGGAAAACAUCGUAAGUGUGCACACUUAAAAUAGAGACUUUUGUUUACAACUUAACAAAUCGUAAUUGGAUUGGUAUAACUUUCAAAUACAAGCGGCAGAAAUAGAGACUCCACCCCCACAGCUGAAUCAUUGGGUUGGUGAGAGACACCGCUUGAGGCUUCUCUUGUUUCUGACAUGUUGUAAUGUUUUAAUCUACACUGAAGAUAACUUACAAACUUGAAGUGCAAAACAAGGAUAUUACCAUUGUGGCUAUCAUAAUAUUAAGCAAAACCGACUUACACUUAUAGACUCUGCUCUAUCCUACAGUGAUCAAUGUAUUGAAGAAAUAAUCACCAACAAUUUGUGCAUCUAAAACUGUACAUAACUCUAUCGUUAUAUCAGAGUAAUCCAGAGAGGUCUAUUGCAUUAUGUUAUCUUUUUAAAGUUUUUUAUUGAUUGGAGCUAGUAAUGUUUUAAGCUUUUUUAUAACACCGGUGAUACAUUUAGAGAUCAUUGUUUCCUUUUAUCAUUUUUUAUCAUCCAGUAUGUUACAAAUAACCGCUUUUAUAUGUAAAUAUUAAUAAAUUGAAACUACUUUAUUCAAUAUA